GAAUACAAACCUGGAAAGUGAUGUUAAAACCCUCCUGUUGAUGCAGACGCAUGUCCCAUUUUUGUGGGGCACGGCUAAAGUCCCGCUGAGUCACACGGAAAGGCAAGACAACUUUGGUUCCCUUGGUCACCUGAGGGUUGGGACCUAUUAAAAGAAAAUUCUUUGAUGAUGGGAUGAGCACACGU